GGGAUAACGUAGCGAAGGUUACGCUAAUACCGCAUACGAUCCAAGGAUGAAAGCAGGGGAUCUUCGGACCUUGUGCUCCUGGAGCGGCCGAUAUCUGAUUAGCUAGUUGGUGAGGUAAAGGCUCACCAAGGCGACGAUCAGUAGCUGGUCUGAGAGGACGACCAGCCACACUGGAACUGAGACACGGUCCAGACUCCUACGGGAGGCAGCAGUGGGGAAUUUUGGACAAUGGGCGCAAGCCUGAUCCAGCAAUGCCGCGUGAGUGAAGAAGGCCUUCGGGUUGUAAAGCUCUUUUGUCAGGGAAGAAACGGGAGUGGCUAAUAUCCAUUCCUAAUGACGGUACCUGAAGAAUAAGCACCGGCUAACUACGUGCCAGCAGCCGCGGUAAUACGUAGGGUGCAAGCGUUAAUCGGAAUUACUGGGCGUAAAGCGUGCGCAGGCGGUUUUGUAAGUCUGUCGUGAAAUCCCCGGGCUCAACCUGGGAAUUGCGAUGGAGACUGCAAGGCUAGAAUCUGGCAGAGGGGGGUAGAAUUCCACGUGUAGCAGUGAAAUGCGUAGAGAUGUGGAGGAACACCGAUGGCGAAGGCAGCCCCCUGGGUCAAGAUUGACGCUCAUGCACGAAAGCGUGGGGAGCAAACAGGAUUAGAUACCCUGGUAGUCCACGCCCUAAACGAUGUCUACUAGUUGUCGGGUUUUAAUUAACUUGGUAACGCAGCUAACGCGUGAAGUAGACCGCCUGGGGAGUACGGUCGCAAGAUUAAAACUCAAAGGAAUUGACGGGGACCCGCACAAGCGGUGGAUGAUGUGGAUUAAUUCGAUGCAACGCGAAAAACCUUACCUACCCUUGACAUGUACGGAAGCCACGAGAGAUCGAGGUGUGCUCGAAAGAGAGCCGUAACACAGGUGCUGCAUGGCUGUCGUCAGCUCGUGUCGUGAGAUGUUGGGUUAAGUCCCGCAACGAGCGCAACCCUUGUCAUUAUUGCUACAUUCAGUUGAGCACUCUAAUGAGACUGCCGGUGACAAACCGGAGGAAGGUGGGGAUGACGUCAAGUCCUCAUGGCCCUUAUGGGUAGGGCUUCACACGUCAUACAAUGGUACAUACAGAGGGCCGCCAACCCGCGAGGGGGAGCUAAUCCCAGAAAGUGUAUCGUAGUCCGGAUCGCAUUCUGCAACUCGACUGCGUGACGUUGGAAUCGCUAGUAAUCGCGGAUCAGCUUGGCUCGCGGUGUAUCCCUUUCCCUGGUGUUGUACACUCCGCCGUUCACACCAUGGGGAGCGGGUUUUACCCUAAGUAGGUAGCUUAACCGCAAGGAGGCCGCUUACCACGGUAUGAUUCCUGACUGGGGUGAAUUCCUACAACGG
rnacentral:rRNA from 1 species